rnacentral:pre_miRNA from 1 species
CAGUGGCAGAAUCACUGUGCAGACAGGCUGAGACAGGCCCUUCUCACCAUCUGGUGAGUCAUGACUGUGG